UACGUAGGGUGCAAGCGUUAAUCGGAAUUACUGGGCGUAAAGCGUGCGCAGGCGGUUUUGUAAGUUUGUCGUGAAAUCCCCGGGCUCAACCUGGGAAUGGCGAUGAAGACUGCAAGGCUAGAAUCUGGCAGAGGGGGGUAGAAUUCCACGUGUAGCAGUGAAAUGCGUAGAUAUGUGGAGGAACACCAAUGGCGAAGGCAGCCCCCUGGGUCAACACUGACGCUCAUGCACGAAAGCGUGGGGAGCAAACAGG
rnacentral:rRNA from 1 species